CCCUGGCUCAGGAUGAACGCAGGCGGCGUGCCUAAUACAUGCAAGUCGAGCGAAUGGAUUAAGAGCUUGCUCUUAUGAAGUUAGCGGCGGACGGGUGAGUAACACGUGGGUAACCUACCCAUAAGACUGGGAUAACUCCGGGAAACCGGGGCUAAUACCGGAUAAUAUUUUGAACUGCAUAGUUCGAAAUUGAAAGGCGGCUUCGGCUGUCACUUAUGGAUGGACCCGCGUCGCAUUAGCUAGUUGGUGAGGUAACGGCUCACCAAGGCGACGAUGCGUAGCCGACCUGAGAGGGUGAUCGGCCACACUGGGACUGAGACACGGCCCAGACUCCUACGGGAGGCAGCAGUAGGGAAUCUUCCGCAAUGGACGAAAGUCUGACGGAGCAACGCCGCGUGAGUGAUGAAGGCUUUCGGGUCGUAAAACUCUGUUGUUAGGGAAGAACAAGUGCUAGUUGAAUAAGCUGGCACCUUGACGGUACCUAACCAGAAAGCCACGGCUAACUA
rnacentral:rRNA from 2 species